AGCUAACGCGUUAAGUCGACCGCCUGGGGAGUACGGCCGCAAGGUUAAAACUCAAAUGAAUUGACGGGGGCCCGCACAAGCGGUGGAGCAUGUGGUUUAAUUCGAUGCAACGCGAAGAACCUUACCUACUCUUGACAUCCACAGAAUUUGGCAGAGAUGCUAAAGUGCCUUCGGGAACUGUGAGACAGGUGCUGCAUGGCUGUCGUCAGCUCGUGUUGUGAAAUGUUGGGUUAAGUCCCGCAACGAGCGCAACCCUUAUCCUUUGUUGCCAGCACGUAAUGGUGGGAACUCAAGGGAGACUGCCGGUGACAAACCGGAGGAAGGUGGGGAUGACGUCAAGUCAUCAUGGCCCUUACGAGUAGGGCUACACACGUGCUACAAUGGCAGAUACAAAGUGAAGCGAACUCGCGAGAGCCAGCGGACCACAUAAAGUCUGUCGUAGUCCGGAUUGGAGUCUGCAACUCGACUCCAUGAAGUCGGAAUCGCUAGUAAUCGUAGAUCAGAAUGCUACGGUGAAUACGUUCCCGGGCCUUGUACACACCGCCCGUCACACCAUGGGAGUGGGUUGCAAAAGAAGUAGGUAGCUUAACCUUCGGGAGGGCGCUUACCACUUUGUGAUUCAUGACUGGGGUGAAGUCGUAACAAGGUAACCGUAGGGGAACCUGCGGUUGGAUCACCUCCUUACCU
rnacentral:rRNA from 1 species